rnacentral:rRNA from 1 species
AUUGAACGCUGGCGGCAGGCCUAACACAUGCAAGUCGAGCGGAUGAAGGGAGCUUGCUCCUGGAUUCAGCGGCGGACGGGUGAGUAAUGCCUAGAAAUCUGCCUGGUAGUGGGGGAUAACGUCCGGAAACGGGCGCUAAUACCGCAUACGUCCUGAGGGAGAAAGUGGGGGAUCUUCGGACCUCACGCCAUCAGAUGAGCCUAGGUCGGAUUAGCUAGUUGGUGGGGUAAAGGCCUACCAAGGCGACGAUCCGUAACUGGUCUGAGAGGAUGAUCAGUCACACUGGAACUGAGACACGGUCCAGACUCCUACGGGAGGCAGCAGUGGGGAAUAUUGGACAAUGGGCGAAAGCCUGAUCCAGCCAUGCCGCGUGUGUGAAGAAGGUCUUCGGAUUGUAAAGCACUUUAAGUUGGGAGGAAGGGCAGUAAGUUAAUACCUUGCUGUUUUGACGUUACCAACAGAAUAAGCACCGGCUAACUUCGUG